AGAGUGUUUAUAAAUAAAAUAGCUACGGAUGUCUCUAUCCUCGCCGCGUUCUGAUGUUUGUCAUCCUCCGUUGCCGGUAAUAAUUGAAUCUAUGAGUGUAUCGAGUCGUGCCUGCCCUCCAUUCUCCGUUGCCGGCAAUUAUUGAAAAAUCCCACAUUAAUUGUUUCUCUCACCAUCCAAGACCACCGAAGAACGCAUCUUUGCCAUCCUCAGCCGCAAGCCCCUGCCGGAAUCCUCCGACCGAGAGCCCCUCCAACAACAGUACGCAUAUUUUGCUCGUGUUUGCCGGAGAAAAAUUCAGGAGAGAUUUACCGCUGUUAUAGAUAGGUUGCACUUUCGCUUGAAGCCUUGAAUAGUUGAAUGUAAGUUUCAUGAGUAUACAAGAUAUAUAGAUGCAACAAUUCAUUAUAUUUAAAUGGUUCUAUAAUGUAUACAUACGUAAAAGGUGCUACAUAACACACAGAUGGUAAGACUGAAUGAAUCAUUCAAAUUAUAAAAAUAUUUUAAAAAAAAUAACAGAUCUAAUUAUAUGUUUGUUCAAGUAGAUAACCGACCUUAUUAUGUUAUUCUUAAGUGACGGACUAGAUGAUUUUGAAGAUGCAGAUUUAGCAAGACCACCUUCACUUUCCAAUUCAGCCAGGUUAUUAUCCGAAUGACUUUUGGGCAGAAAAGCAAGUCACUUAUCAUAGGAGAUGAUUAACAGAAGAAGAUAUUAUUAUUUUGAUUGGUCUAUUAGUUAAUUGUUUCGUAGUUUUUUUAUUGUUUGAAAUCCUAUCCUUCACCGUAUUCCCUUAAAAAAAAGGAUUCAUACAUAAAUAUUAGUUAAUUGUUUCGUAGCAUUAGGAAAUAUUAUUAUUGAGUAUUACUUACACUUUAGUAGGGGAAGAUGAUUUCCUAUAUAUACUCCAACAGCAAAUAUCCAUGUGAUAAUAAUUGGGUGUCACAAUUUUAUGUUUGCUAUAUAUAUAUAGAUAUAUAUCUGAUUCAAACCUCUUUGUACAUCGUAACAGUAAUAUUAAUAUUAGUAUCAAUAUCUAAUCAAUGAGAAGAUGAAUUCCUUAUACAAAUAAAAACUUUAUCGCCAAACCCUAACCCAUAGCUACCUUCACUUUUAGUUUCUCUUACAUUGAUUUUCCAAAGCCGAUCGUCCACCGCAUUAAUCUAAUCAAACCGCGAUGCGCCGUCCGAUACGAAGUGGCAUAACUGCCGGCGGAAAAGGCCUUAGAAUCCCAACGGAGUAGUUGUAGUUGGCAGGUACAACAACGGAAAGCUCCUCUUUUGCCUUCUGGUGGCGUUUCGUUUCUCUUGAAACAUGAAAUAAGAGUUGCGUAAUGAUCACAAGGACAUAACGGAGAAGAUGAGUCAAAACAUCCAGCUUCUUCAUUCUGCAAAACAUACUACAACCACCGUCAAAGAUUCAGGUUAGCUACUCAUUAAUUCCAUGUUGUUUAUUGGAGUUUGUGAUAUGAGAUAGAUGAGUUAUACACGAUCAGUUAUUAUGAGCCUAACAAAUUCCAUGUUGUUUAUUGGAGUUUGUGAUAUGAGAUAGAUGAGUUACACACGAUCAGUUA